AUUAAACGCUGGCGGCAUGCCUUACACAUGCAAGUCGAACGGCAGCACGGGGGCAACCCUGGUGGCGAGUGGCGGACGGGUGAGUAAAGCAUCGGAACGUAUCCUGGAGUGGGGGAUAACGUAGCGAAAGUUACGCUAAUACCGCAUAUUCUGUGAGCAGGAAAGCAGGGGAUCGCAAGACCUUGCGCUCUGGGAGCGGCCGAUGUCGGAUUAGCUAGUUGGUGGGGUAAAGGCCUACCAAGGCGACGAUCCGUAGCGGGUCUGAGAGGAUGAUCCGCCACACUGGGACUGAGACACGGCCCAGACUCCUACGGGAGGCAGCAGUGGGGAAUUUUGGACAAUGGGCGGAAGCCUGAUCCAGCCAUGCCGCGUGAGUGAAGAAGGCCUCGGGUUGUAAAG
rnacentral:rRNA from 1 species